rnacentral:rRNA from 1 species
AUUGAACGCUGGCGGCAAGCCUAACACAUGCAAGUCGAGCGGUAACAGGAAGAAGCUUGCUUCUUUGCUGACGAGUGGCGGACGGGUGAGUAAUGUCUGGGAAACUGCCUGAUGGAGGGGGAUAACUACUGGAAACGGUAGCUAAUACCGCAUAACGUCGCAAGACCAAAGAGGGGGACCUUCGGGCCUCUUGCCAUCGGAUGUGCCCAGAUGGGAUUAGCUAGUAGGUGGGGUAACGGCUCACCUAGGCGACGAUCCCUAGCUGGUCUGAGAGGAUGACCAGCCACACUGGAACUGAGACACGGUCCAGACUCCUACGGGAGGCAGCAGUGGGGAAUAUUGCACAAUGGGCGCAAGCCUGAUGCAGCCAUGCCGCGUGUAUGAAGAAGGCCUUCGGGUUGUAAAGUACUUUCAGCGGGGAGGAAGGGAGUAAAGUUAAUACCUUUGCUCAUUGACGUUACCCGCAGAAGAAGCACCGGCUAACUCCGUG